rnacentral:rRNA from 1 species
AUUGAACGCUGGCGGCGUGCCUAACACAUGCAAGUCGCACGAGAAAGUCCCAGCUUGCUGGGGCUAGUAAAGUGGCGCACGGGUGAGUAACGCGUGGGUAAUCUACCUCCGAAUUGGGGAUAACACUGCGAAAGCGGUGCUAAUACCGAAUGACAUCCCCGGGACUCCGGUCUUGGUGAUCAAAGGUGGCCUCGACAUGUAAGCUAUUGUUUGGAGAUGAGCCCGGGUACCAUUAGCUAGUUGGUAGGGUAAUGGCCUACCAAGGCUGCGAUGGUUAGCUGGUCUGAGAGGAUGAUCAGCCACACUGGAACUGACACACGGUCCAGACUCCUACGGGAGGCAGCAGUGAGGAAUUUUGCGCAAUGGGGGAAACCCUGACGCAGCAACGCCGCGUGAGUGAUGAAGGCUUUCGGGUCGUAAAGCUCUGUCAAGUGGGAAGAACUUGCUUCGUGAUAAUACCACGAAGCACUGACGGUACCACUGAAGGAAGCACCGGCUAACUCCGUGCCAGCAGCCGCGGUAACAC